GACGUAGGGUGCAAGCGUUGUCCGGAUUUACUGGGCGUAAAGGGCGCGUAGGCGGCCACCGCAAGUCGGUUGUGAAACCUCCAGGCUCAACCUGGAGAGGCCACCUGAUACUGCUGUGACUCGAGUCCGGUAGGGGAGCGUGGAAUUCCUGGUGUAGCGGUGAAAUGCGCAGAUAUCAGGAGGAACACCAGCGGCGAAGGCGGCGCUCUGGGCCGGAACUGACGCUGAGGAGCGAAAGCGUGGGUAGCAAACAGG
rnacentral:rRNA from 1 species